rnacentral:rRNA from 1 species
GACAUAGGUGGCAAACGUUAUCCGGAAUUACUGGGCGUAAAGAGUGCGUAGGUGGUUCAAUAAGUUACUGGUGGGAAAUCGGGGCUCAACCCCGUGGAAGUCAGUAAUACUAUUAAACUAGAGGGUCGGAGAGGUUAACGGAAUUCUAUGUGUAGCGGUAAAAUGCUUAAAUAUAUAGAGGAACACCAAACGGCGAAAGGCAGU